rnacentral:tRNA from 1 species
AUAAUUAAAGUGUUUUUGCACAUAAAGAUUUGAUUUUUGUAGAGAUGAUAACAUCUAAUUAUU